CUUGGCUCUGCCAUUACCUGCAAAGGGCAACAGGAUUGCAUUGUCAACUUUCUAAUAUGUUCCUGGUCUGAAAUGACUAUGAAAAUGUGCAGAAGCUCAGUCGACUCUGAGAAGUCAUGAGGGAGAGAGCGAGAAAUUCAGCAACAUUUCCACUGAAUGUGUGAGUUCAGUUCUACAGAAAUAGAGAUAAGAAAAUUGCAAGGUUUGCAGAAUUAGGCCAGGAUAUCUGCAGUCAGAAAAGAAACAUUGCAUUGUUGUAAUUAAGAACUGCAUUGAGCUGGAAACUCAGUUGCACAGAAGUGGAAUGGUUAAAGGGUUGAACUGCUACUGGGGAGGCCAAGAUUCACACGCACAGCGAGUUACAUUACAUUGGAAGAGUUAUUUUUUUUUUAUCUUGCCUACCACACAAGAUAAGCUGUUUGGAAAUAAACUGUCUUGAACUGAAGGAGGCCAGGAAGAAAAAUCCGAUCUGGUUCCAAGCCGGGAGAAAGGCACUGGAAAUAAAAUGGUGGCCAAUUGGAAAGAAGGAUUCCAUUUAUUGAUGAGCAGAACCAACAACAGCAUAGUGCUCUGCGGUGAUAGCUCUGCAGCUACGCAAAAUUGGGGACAAAUGGAAUCUCCGACAAAGAAUCCUGAAUCU